rnacentral:rRNA from 1 species
UUUUGGACAAUGGGGGCAACCCUGAUCCAGCAAUGCCGCGUGAGUGAAGAAGGCCUUCGGGUUGUAAAGCUCUUUUGUCAGGGAAGAAACACCGGCUCUAACACAGUCCGGGAAUGACGGUACCUGAAGAAUAAGCACCGGCUAACUACGUGCCAGCAGCCGCGGUAAUACGUAGGGUGCGAGCGUUAAUCGGAAUUACUGGGCGUAAAGCGUGCGCAGGCGGUUAUACAAGACAGGCGUGAAAUCCCCGGGCUUAACCUGGGGAUGGCGCCUGUGACUGUAUAGCUAGAGUGUGUCAGAGGGGGGUAGAAUUCCACGUGUAGCAGUGAAAUGCGUAGAUAUGUGGAGGAAUACCAACGGCGAAGGCAGCCCCCUGGGAUAACACUGACGCUCAUGCACGAA